CAACGAAAGCAUCACCUACAUGUAGGCCAAUGUUGUAUGACGUGUUGAUUUCAUUAUGUUCAUUAUGCCGUGAUUGGUUGAAAGUGAUCAAGAGUUGAUGUGUGUCCUCAGGCGUUGACGUAGCCCGCCAGAUCCUGAGGAAUGACAGGACCAUCCUGCGUUCCGCCAGAAAGGAGACCAUUGAACGAGAGGAGCGCCUGGCAGCUAUGAUGGACAGAUGUGAAACGCUACACGUCAGGAGUGAGCUGAUAGACCAAGGGCAAACGUACCGUCGUCGCCAAAUGAAAAAGAGACCGAAGAAGACCUGAAAAGUGGAGGAAAUAGCACACUAGAAUCGCUAGAUAUAUGUAGGACUUCAUCGUGCAUAAAUAUCUAAACUUUGUGAAACUCAACAAUAUGAAUUUGAUGAUGAUGUAUAAAAUGGAUACAGUAUAUAACGUUAAGUGUCAACAAUAGAUUGAGAAAUACUAGCACUAGUCGUCUUGUCGAGGUUUAGCAUCAUUCUCCUAUGUACAGCUUGAAUCACUAGUAUCAUUAUUGGCUUUUGUCAUGGGAAAGUUCUGCUUAAGAAAGAAAGAAUCUUAUAACGUUACCCCUUUUCACUGGAGGCUGUGACAUCUGAGCAUACACUCAGCGUCCAAAGAUUUGUCUCAUCACUCAAGAAAUUUCACAGAUAUUGUAAA